rnacentral:rRNA from 1 species
GCGCCGAUGGAGCGGCCCGCGUUCGAUUAGCUGGUUGGUGGGGUAACGGCCUACCAAGGCGACGAUCGAUAGCUGGUCUCAGAGGAUGAUCAGCCAGACUGGGACUGAGACACGGCCCAG